rnacentral:rRNA from 1 species
AUACAUGCAAGUCGAACGCUUCUUUUUCCACCGGAGCUUGCUCCACCGGAAAAGAGGAGUGGCGAACGGGUGAGUAACACGUGGGUAACCUGCCCAUCAUAAGGGGAUAACACUUGGAAACAGGUGCUAAUACCGUAUAACAAUCGAAACCGCAGGUUUUGAUUUGAAAGGCGCUUUCGGGUGUCGCUGAUGGAUGGACCCGCGGUGCAUUAGCUAGUUGGUGAGGUAACGGCUCACCAAGGCCACGAUGCAGAGCCUACCUGAGAGGGUGAUCGGCCACAUUGGGACUGAGACACGGCCCAAACUCCUACGGGAGGCAGCAGUAGGGAAUCUUCGGCAAUGGACGAAAGUCUGACCGAGCAACGCCGCGUGAGUGAAGAAGGUUUUCGGAUCGUAAAACUCUGUUGUUAGAGAAGAACAAGGAUGAGAGUAACUGUUCAUCCCUUGACGGUAUCUAACCAGAAAGCCACGGCUAACUACGUGCCAGCAGCCGCGGUAAUACGUAGGUGGCAAGCGUUGUCCGGAUUUAUUGGGCGUAAAGCGAGCGCAGGCAGUUUCUUAAGUCUGAUGUGAAAGCCCCCGGCUCAACCGGGGAGGGUCAUUGGAAACUGGGAGACUUGAGUGCAGAAGAGGAGAGUGGAAUUCCAUGUGUAGCGGUGAAAUGCGUAGAUAUAUGGAGGAACACCAGUGGCGAAGGCGGCUCUCUGGUCUGUAACUGACGCUGAGGCUCGAAAGCGUGGGGAGCAAACAGGAUUAGAUACCCUGGUAGUCCACGCCGUAAACGAUGAGUGCUAAGUGUUGGAGGGUUUCCGCCCUUCAGUGCUGCAGCUAACGCAGUAAGCACUCCGCCUGGGGAGUACGACCGCAAGGUUGAAACUCAAAGGAAUUGACGGGGGCCCGCACAAGCGGUGGAGCAUGUGGUUUAAUUCGAAGCAACGCGAAGAACCUUACCAGGUCUUGACAUCCUUUGACCACUCUCGAGAUAGAGCUUCCCCUUCGGGGGCAAAGUGACAGGUGGUGCAUGGUUGUCGUCAACUCGUGUCAUGACAUGUUGGGUUAAAUCCCCCAACGAGGGCAACCCUUAUUGUUAAUUGCCACCAUUCAAUUGGGGACCCUUACAAAACUGCCGGUGACAAACCCGAAGGAAAGGUGGGGGAUAAACUCCAAAAAACAAGGCCCCUUAAGACCUGGG